CACGUAGGCGGAAAGUUAAGUGUCUUGUGAAAUCCCCCGGCUCAACCGGGGAAUUGCAGGGCAUACUGGCUUUCUUGAGGCAAGUAGGGGUACAUGGAACUUUGGGUGGAGCGGUGAAAUGCGUAGAUAUCCAAAGGAACGCCAGCGGAGAAAUCGGUGUACUGGGCUUGUUCUGACGCUGAGGUGCGAAAGCGUGGGUAGCGAACAGGAUUAGAUACCCUGGUAGUCC
rnacentral:rRNA from 1 species